UACGGGGGGGGCAAGCGUUGUUCGGAAUUAUUGGGCGUAAAGCGUGCGUAGGCGGCGCGGUAUGUCGUGCGUGAAAUCUCCCGGCUUAACUGGGAGGGGCCGUGCGAAACUGCCGGGCUUGAGGUCGGAAGGGGAAAGUGGAAUUCCGGGUGUAGUGGUGGAAUACGUAGAUAUCCGGAGGAACACCAGCGGCGAAGGCGGCUUUCUGGUCCGAUACUGACGCUGAGGUGCGAAAGCGUGGGGAGCGAUCCGG
rnacentral:rRNA from 1 species